CCAAUAGCGUAUAUUAAAGUUGUUGCAGUUAAAAAGCUCGUAGUUGAAUUUCGGGGUUAGUAGGUUGGUCAUGCCUCUGGUAUGUACUGGUCUCACUGAUUCCUCCUUCCUGAUAAGCCGUAAUGCCAUUAAUUUGGUGUUGCGGGGAAUCUGGACUGUUACUUUGAAAAAAUUAGAGUGUUUAAAGCAAGCUAACGCUUGAAUACAUUAGCAUGGAAUAAUGAAAUAGUACGUUCGAUCCUAUUUUGUUGGUUUCUAGGAUUGACGUAAUGAUUAAUAGGGAUAGUUGGGGGCAUUAGUAUUCAAUUGUCAGAGGUGAAAUUCUUGGAUUUAUUGAAGACUAACUACUGCGAAAGCAUUUGCCAAGGAUGUUUUCAUUAAUCAAGAACGAAAGUUAGGGGAUCGAAGACGAUCAGAUACCGUCGUAGUCUUAACCAUAAACUAUGCCGACUAGGGAUCGGAUGAUGUUAAUUUUUUAAUGACUCAUUCGGCGCCUUACG
rnacentral:rRNA from 1 species